UGCCAGCAGCCGCGGUAAUACGUAGGGUGCAAGCGUUAUCCGGAAUUAUUGGGCGUAAAGGGCUCGUAGGCGGUUCGUCGCGUCCGGUGUGAAAGUCCAUCGCUUAACGGUGGAUCCGCGCCGG
rnacentral:rRNA from 1 species